GAUGAACGCUGGCGGCGUGCUUAACACAUGCAAGUCGAACGAAGCACUUUAUUUGAUUUCCUUCGGGACUGAUUAUUUUGUGACUGAGUGGCGGACGGGUGAGUAACGCGUGGGUAACCUGCCUUGUACAGGGGGAUAACAGUUGGAAACGGCUGCUAAUACCGCAUAAGCGCACGGCAUCGCAUGAUGCAGUGUGAAAAACUUCGGUGGUAUAAGAUGGACCCGCGUUGGAUUAGCGAGUUGGUGAGGUAACGGCCCGCCAAGGCGACGAACCUUGGGCGACCUGAGAGGGCGACCGGCCACAUUGGAACUGAGACACGGCCCAAACUCCUACGGGAGGCAGCAGUGGGGAAUAUUGCACAAUGGGCGAAAGCCUGAUGCAGCGACGCCGCGUGAGCGAAGAAGUAUUUCGGUAUGUAAAGCUCUGUCAGCAGGGAAGAGAAUGACGGUACCUGACUAAGAAGCACCGGCUAAAUACGUGCCAGCAGCCGCCGUAA
rnacentral:rRNA from 1 species